AUCCAAUAGCAUGUUCCAGUCUCCGCACAUAGUGCCACGCUGACACUGAGACACAGAGUGCCUAGCCAUGGUACUAACUAUGGCAGAGUACGCCAGGAGGCUCACAUGUUACCUCUUCUGAACACUGAAACCCUGGAGACCAACACCAGCUGAGCUCGCUCGCUAACAGUUCCCGAGAGCGUGCUUGCACUGGGAAAUCCCUCCAACCACGUGACAAGCCCAAAGACAAGCCAGUGUGAAGACAGGAAGGGAAGUUUCUCAUCUGGAAAACAGGAAGAGAUGGGGCUCAUCGAGGCUCAGGAGGCAGAAUCGAAGGUAGGAUCACAUCUCUGUUCUCCUGUGUGGAACUCACACUCUCCAGCCAUGUGAUGAGGACCAUUGCAAGCUGGUGACGAGUAAGACAAGGAAGGAAGAAAGUCAGCAGGGGAGUGAGUAGGAGGAAUUGUAGGGAAGCAACAUAAAGUGCUUACUUACAGAGGGUCCUGAGAGUGUAGUCAGCUGGACACUGUGUACAGUCACCUGGGGAAAGCGUCCCAGAGAGGCCUUGUUGAGAAAAGGCUUGCCUGUAGGCUCGUCUGUGGGGCCAUUGUGCUGACUCCCAUAAUAGACAUGGGAAACCUUCCGAAGCUCCAGUUACUUGUUUGAUUUUUUUUUUAACCAGACGAAAGAGGAAUCCUACUCGACUACUCUAUUUCGACCAGUAAAACGUGCAAUGGUUCCAUCCCAGUGGGAGCCACUGGUGCUCCAGAAAUUCUCUUCUGGAAGAGCCGUUCUUGUUCCUGCCCGCCUCCAUGUUAGAGGUCCUAGAGGUCUGCUAGAGAAGAGACGUGAAGUGAACAAAACC
ensembl:lncRNA